UACGAAAAGGGCUAGCAUUGUUCGGAAUUACUGGGCGUAAAGCGCGCGCAGGCGGUUUUUCAAGUCAGUGGUGAAAGCCCGGAGCUCAACUCCGGAACUGCCAUUGAAACUGUAAAACUUGAGGAUGAGAGAGGUGAGUGGAAUUCCCAGUGUAGAGGUGAAAUUCGUAGAUAUUGGGAAGAACACCGGUGGCGAAGGCGGCUCACUGGCUCAUAUCUGACGCUUAGGCGCGACAGCGUGGGGAUCAAACAGG
rnacentral:rRNA from 1 species